rnacentral:rRNA from 1 species
ACAUUAGCAUGGGAUAAUGGAAUAGGACCCUGUCCUCCUAUUUUCAGUUGGUUUUGGCAGCGCGAGGACUAGGGUAAUGAUUAAUAGGGAUAGUUGGGGGCAUUAAUAUUUAAUUGUCAGAGGUGAAAUUCUUGGAUUUAUGAAAGAUUAACUUCUGCGAAAGCAUCUGCCAAGGAUGUUUUCAUUAAUCAAGAACGAAAGUUAGGGGAUCGAAGACGAUCAGAUACCGUCGUAGUCUUAACCAUAAACGAUGCCGACCAGCGAUUAGGAGACGUUGAAUACAAAACACCACCAUCG